GCAGCGUCCCCAAGAGCAGCCACAACCCCAAGAAGGCACCCAAGAGCAGCACCAUUUCAAAGAGAGGAAACAUUCCCAAGAGUGCCCCCAUGAGCGGCGCCAUUCCAAAAAGUCGCUGCUUCCCCAAGAGCAGCCACAGUGCAAUUCCCAAAAGUCACAGCAUCCCCAGAGGCAGCCAUGGACCCAAGAGGGACCCGAAUAGGGGCGUCAUUCCAAAGAGCAGAAACAUUCCCAAGAGUGCCCCAAAGAGUGGCACAUUCCAAAGAGCAGCCACACUCACAAGAGCAUCCCCCAGAGCAGCUCCACUCCAAAAAUCCACAGCAGCCUCAGCCCCAAGAACACCCCCAUGGUCAGCCACAAUCCCAAGAGGGGCACCAUGCCAAAGAGUCGCAGCAUCACCAAGAGCAGCCACAGCCCCAAAAGGGCCCCGAAGAGCGGCGCCAUUCCAAAGAGAGGGCACAUUUCCAAGAGCAGCUCCAUUCCAAAGAGGGGCCACUCUCCCAAGAGCGGCGCUAUUCCAAAGAGAGGCCAUACUCCCAAGAGCAAGACCAAGAGCGGCACCAUUCCAAAAAGUCGCAGGAUCCCAAAGAGCAUCCACAGCCCCAAGAGGGCCCUCAAGUGCAGCGCCACUCCAAAGAGCAGCCACAUUCCCAAGAGUAUUCCCAAGAGCGGCGCCAUUCCAAAGAGCGGCCAGACUCCAAAGAGCAUCCCCAACAGAGGCGCCAUUCCAAAAAUCCACAGCAGCCACAGUCCCAAGAGCACGCCCACGAGUAGCCACACUCCCCGGAGUGGCACCAUUCAAAAAAGUCCCAGCAUCCCCAAGAGCAGCCACAGCCCCAAGAUAUUCCCCAAGAGCGGCACCAUUCCAAAGAGAGGCCACACUCCCAAGAGCACCCCCAAGAGAGGCGCCAUUCCGGAAACUCUCAAAAUCCCCAAGAGCAGCCAAAGCCGCAGGAGGGCCCCCACAAGAGGUGCCAUCACAAAGAGCAGCCACCCUCCAAAGAGCGCACCCAGAAGAGGCUCCAUUCUAA
rnacentral:lncRNA from 1 species